rnacentral:rRNA from 1 species
UACAGAGGGGGCAAGCGUUGUUCGGAAUUACUGGGCGUAAAGGACGUGUAGGCGGCCAACUAAGUCCGACGUGAAAUCCCCAGGCUUAACCUGGGAACUGCGUCGGAUACUGGAUGGCUUGAAUCCGGGAGAGGGAUGCAGAAUUCCAGGUGUAGCGGUGAAAUGCGUAGAUAUCUGGAGGAAUACCGGUGGCGAAGGCGGCAUCCUGGACCGGCAUUGACGCUGAAGCGCGAAAGCUAGGGGAGCAAACGGG